GACAGAGGGGGCAAGCGUUGCUCGGAAUCACUGGGCGUAAAGGGCGCGUAGGCGGGAUGGCAAGUCAGUCGUGAAAUCUCUCGGCUCAACCGAGAAACGUCGGCUGAUACUGCCGUUCUUGAGGGAUGCAGAGGAGACUGGAAUUCCCGGUGUAGCGGUGAAAUGUGUAGAGAUCGGGAGGAACACCGGUGGCGAAGGCGGGUCUCUGGGCAUUUCCUGACGCUGAGGCGCGAAAGCGUGGGGAGCGAUCCGG
rnacentral:rRNA from 1 species